rnacentral:rRNA from 1 species
AUUGAACGCUGGCGGCAGGCCUAACACAUGCAAGUCGAGCGAGCGGCGGACGGGUGAGUAAUGUCUGGGAAACUGCCUGAUGGAGGGGGAUAACUACUGGAAACGGUAGCUAAUACCGCAUACCAUCAGAUGUGCCCAGAUGGGAUUAGCUAGUAGGUGGGGUAACGGCUCACCUAGGCGACGAUCCCUAGCUGGUCUGAGAGGAUGACCAGCAACAAUGAAACGGAGAGAAGGUCCAGACUCCUACGGAAGUGAGCAGGGGGGAAUAUUGCACAAUGGGCGCAAGCCUGAUGCAGCCAUGCCGCGUGUGUGAAGAAGGCCUGCGAGUUGUAAAGCACUUUCAGCGGGGGGGCGUUACCCGCAGAAGAAGCACCGGCUAACUCCGUGCCAGCAGCCGCGGUAAUUC